UACAGAGGGUGCGAGCGUUGUUCGGAAUCAUUGGGCGUAAAGCGCGUGUAGGCGGCCUUGUAAGUCUGUUCUGAAAGCCCGGGGCUCAACCCCGGGAGGCGGAUGGAUACUGCAAGGCUCGAGUACGGAAGAGGCGAGUGGAAUUCCCGGUGUAGCGGUGAAAUGCGCAGAUAUCGGGAGGAACACCAAUGGCGAAGGCAGCUCGCUGGGACGUUACUGACGCUGAGACGCGAAAGCGUGGGGAGCAAACAGG
rnacentral:rRNA from 1 species